GGGAAUUUUCCGCAAUGGGCGAAAGCCUGACGGAGCAAUGCCGCGUGGAGGUGGAAGGCCUACGGGUCGUCAACUUCUUUUCUCGGAGAAGAAACAAUGACGGUAUCUGAGGAAUAAGCAUCGGCUAACUACGUGCCAG
rnacentral:rRNA from 1 species